rnacentral:misc_RNA from 1 species
UCUCCGUUGGUGAACCAGCGGAGGGAUCAUUACAGCGCUCGCAAGAAUCCUACAACCCUGUGAACUUAUCUAUAUGCACGUUGCUUCGGCGGGUGCCUCGGUGGGGGAUCUCCCUCCCCGAUACGCUAAACCCGCCGGCAUCCUACUCUACUCUGUCUCUUUGCGUUGGCAUCUCGAGUACAAUCAAACAAGUUAAAACUUUCAACAACGGAUCUCUUGGUUCUG